rnacentral:lncRNA from 1 species
GGGUCAGGCAUUCCUUUUGAGAGCUCUUUGUAACAAAUAGGUCUCUAAGAGAUAACUACCUACAUGAAACUAAUAAUGUAAAAGAUGCAAAGGAGCAAAAGUUGGACCAUAUCACCUUCUAACAUACAUUAUUAGUAAGUCAUAUUUUGUAGAAAUUUUGGAAUUUGUAUGGAAUAUCCUAAUGAUUUCACUGAGAUUAAAUUAUAGGCCUACUUACAUUUCAUCCAAUGUUCUUACCAAGAUUCGACCUGCAAUUAGGGCUGCUAAUUCUAUCCUGUAACAAAGAGCAAAACAAAUGACAAAAUAGCAAAUAGCACCAAUCAACCUCUGAAUUCCUGCAAGAAUCCGGAUGGAGAUUCAGAAUUCUUCUUAACACAGCAGUCUAGGGAACCACCAAAGGAUCAGAUUUGAUAACAAGUUGGAAUCUAUUAGUCAUUCUUAAUUUUCUAGAGUCUUCCCCUUUCUAUUUUAAUCAGCCUAUCACAUUGCAGGAUAGUAACACAUCAAGAAGAUGACUUCGGGGAACUAUUAUCAGGGAGCCUGAUGUGUGGGUCCUAGAUCCACACAGGUGUAUCCUUGGAUCUGGGUUAUUGCUGUGAAAAUGGAGAUUCAUGCUAUCCAGGUGAAUGCAGGAGACUGCCUUGGAAGCGUGUGCCCAUGAGAAGCAAAAAGGCAGAGAUAAGUGCAGGAAGCCAGAAGAUAGCAAAAAAGCAGAAGGUGACGUCAGAAUUUGAGAUAUAGGGAACUAGAAAUAGAGAAGAGCCGGUGGCAAGAAGAGUAUAUAGGACAAAUUUAAUUUAACUUUGGGUAUGGGACAUUGUUUGCUUCAGCAACAAGCUCAUCUGCAUUUGGCCUUGGAAACAGCCAGAAAUCCUUGGGCACAGGAAGAAACACCUGGGAUGGAGAUGUGCAUGUAGGCCGCCAUCCUACGGGCAGGUGUGCAAUCUCGAGGGGGCACCAUCAACCUCCUAGGGGAGACCUUCACCAUCAUAUGUCACGGAUUCACCUUGAAUAAUCUCAACAAGCAAGUUGCUCAAGUAACUAACACUUGU